GAUGAACGCUGGCGGCGUGCCUAAUACAUGCAAGUCGAGCGAACGGACGAGAAGCUUGCUUCUCUGAUGUUAGCGGCGGACGGGUGAGUAACACGUGGAUAACCUACCUAUAAGACUGGGAUAACUUCGGGAAACCGGAGCUAAUACCGGAUGAUAUUUUGAACCGCAUGGUUCAAAAGUGAAAGACGGUCUUGCUGUCACUUAUAGAUGGAUCCGCGCUGCAUUAGCUAGUUGGUAAGGUAACGGCUUACCAAGGCAACGAUGCAUAGCCGACCUGAGAGGGUGAUCAGCCAGACUGGAGCUGAGACACGGACCAGACUACUACGGGAGGCAGCAGUAGGGAAUCUUCCGCACUGGGCGAAAGCCUGACGGAGCAACGCCGCGUGAGUGAUGAAGGUCUUCGGAUCGUAAAACUCUGUUAUUAGGGAAGAACAUAUGUGUAAGUAACUGUGCACAUCUUGACGGUACCUAAUCAGAAAGCCACGGCUAACUACGUG
rnacentral:rRNA from 1 species